rnacentral:misc_RNA from 1 species
GAUGAAGAACGUAGUGAAAUGCGAUAAGUAAUGUGAAUUGCAGAAUCCAGUGAAUCAUCGAAUCUUUGAACGCACAUUGCGCCCGUCAGUAUUCUGACGGGCAUGCCUGUCCGAGCGUCAUUUCAACCCUCAAGCACUGCUUGGCGUUGGCGGAUUGCGUGCCCUCGCGGCGCUGCAACCGCCCAAAUACAGUGGCGGUCCCGCUGCGGCUCCCUUUGCGUAGUAACUCACCUCGCACUGGACCGGGCGGCGGCCUGCCGUAAAACCCCAACUCACGAAAUGUUGACCUCGGAUCAGGUAGGAAUACCCGCUGAACUUAAGCAUAUCAAUAAGCGGAGGA